rnacentral:rRNA from 1 species
UUAAAGUUGUGCAGUUAAAAGCUCGUAGUGAAACUUGGGUGUGUAGGGGCGGUCUCUUUUAGAGUACUACCCUGAAACAUCUUUCUUUGGUGUAAACUCUUUAUUCACUUAAGGAGUGUAAACCAAACAUUUACUUUGAAAAAAUUAGAGUGUUCAAAGCAGGCCUUUGCUCGAAUAUAUUAGCAUGGAAUAAUAGAAUAGGACGUAUGGUUCUAUUUUGUUGGUUUCUAGGACCGUCGUAAUGAUUAAUAGGGACGGUCGGGGGCAUCAGUAUUCAGUUGUCAGAGGUGAAAUUCUUGGAUUUACUGAAGACUAACUACUGCGAAAGCAUUUGCCAAGGACGUUUUCAUUAAUCAAGAACGAAAGUUAGGGGAUCGAAGACGAUCAGAUACCGUCGUAGUCUUAACCGUAAACUAUGCCGACUAGGGAUCGGAGGGCGUUAUAAUAACCUCUCCGGCACCUUACGAGAAAUCAAAGUUUUUGGGUUCUGGGGGGAGUAUGGUUGCAAGGCUGAAACUUAAAGGAAUUGACGGAAGGGCACCACCAGGAGUGGAGCCUGCGGCUUAAUUUGACUCAACACGGGGAAACUCACCAGGUCCAGACACAAUAAGGAUUGACAGAUUGAGAGCUCUUUCAUGAUUUUGUGGGUGGUGGUGCAUGGCCGUUCUUAGUUGGUGGAGUGAUUUGUCUGCUUAAUUGCGAUAACGAACGAGACCUUAACCUGCUAAAUAGCUGUAACAAUAGAUUAUUGUUUUGACAGCUUCUUAGAGGGACUAUCGAUUUUCAAGUCGAUGGAAGUUUGAGGCAAUAACAGGUCUGUGAUGCCCUUAGACGUUCUGGGCCGCACGCGCGCUACACUGACGGAGCCAGCGAGUCUAACCUGUGCCGAGAGGUAUGGGUAAUCUUGUGAAACUCCGUCGUGCUGGGGAUAGAGCAUUGCAAUUAUUGCUCUUCAACGAGGAAUUCCUAGUAAGCGCAAGUCAUCAGCUUGCGUUGAUUACGUCCCUGCCCUUUGUACACACCGCCCGUCGCUACUACCGAUUGAAUGGCUUAGUGAGGCUUCCGGAUUGAUUAACUGGAGAGGGCAACUUUUCUGGUUGAACGAGAAGCUAGUCAAACU